GUGGGUCAGUUUGUGUAUGUAAUCUGAAAGAGAAUUAAACUGAGCGCGGGAAAGGCAAUUAAUAUUUGUGGAUAAUGUCCUCCCACCAAUAGGUAGCAAUUAUUCUUUCCCCUCUGGUUUGUACACAUAUGCAUAUCUGCUCAAAGCUUUAUAAGGGCACAUUACUCUAUCCCUAACCAAGGUGGGAUAUUAACAAUGCCGUCCAUGUGUUUCUCAUCUUUAUAAUGACUAGGCAAAAGCUAUGCAAACUUUUCCUUGCCAUGGUGCCCAUAACAUGUCUUCUAUGGACACAAUUAUAGGUUGUAUUUGUUCUUUUUCUUAAAAGUAAAUGAUGUCAACUACUAAAUAAUUUAAACUCCAUUA
rnacentral:misc_RNA from 1 species